rnacentral:snRNA from 1 species
GUGCUCGCUUCGGCAGCACACAUACUAAAAUUGGAACGAUACAGAGAUUAGCAUGGCCCCUGCGCAAGGA